AGUGAACGCUGGCGGUAGGCCUAACACAUGCAAGUCGAACGGCAGCACAGUAAGAGCUUGCUCUUGCGGGUGGCGAGUGGCGGACGGGUGAGGAAUACAUCGGAAUCUACUUUUUCGUGGGGGAUAACGUAGGGAAACUUACGCUAAUACCGCAUACGACCUACGGGUGAAAGCAGGGGAUCUUCGGACCUUGCGCGAUUGAAUGAGCCGAUGUCGGAUUAGCUAGUUGGCGGGGUAAAGGCCCACCAAGGCGACGAUCCGUAGCUGGUCUGAGAGGAUGGUCAGCCACACUGGAACUGAGACACGGUCCAGACUCCUACGGGAGGCAGCAGUGGGGAAUAUUGGACAAUGGGCGCAAGCCUGAUCCAGCCAUACCGCGUGGGUGAAGAAGGCCUUCGGGUUGUAAAGCCCUUUUGUUGGGAAAGAAAAGCAGCAGGUUAAUACCCCGCUGUUCUGACGGUACCCAAAGAAUAAGCACCGGCUAACUUCGUG
rnacentral:rRNA from 1 species